rnacentral:rRNA from 1 species
CGCAAGCCUGACGGAGCAAGACCGCGUGAGGGAGGAAGGCUCUUGGGUUGUAAACCUCUUUUCUCAGGGAAGAAGCUCUGACGGUACCUGAGGAAUCAGCCUCGGCUAACUCCGUGCCAGCAGCCGCGGUAAUACGGAGGAGGCAAGCGUUAUCCGGAAUUAUUGGGCGUAAAGCGUCCGCAGGUGGCGAUUCAAGUCUGCUGUCAAAACCCAGGGCUCAACUCUGGUCAGGCAGUGGAAACUACAUAGCUAGAGUUCGGUAGGGGCAAAGGGAAUUCCCGGUGUAGCGGUGAAAUGCGUAGAGAUCGGGAAGAACAUCGGUGGCGAAAGCGCUCUACUGGACGGCAACUGACACUCAGGGACGAAAGCUAGGGGAGCG